UUUAAUUCGAUGCAACGCGAAGAACCUUACCUGGUCUUGACAUCCACGGAAGUUUUCAGAGAUGAGAAUGUGCCUUCGGGAACCGUGAGACAGGUGCUGCAUGGCUGUCGUCAGCUCGUGUUGUGAAAUGUUGGGUUAAGUCCCGCAACGAGCGCAACCCUUAUCCUUUGUUGCCAGCGGUCCGGCCGGGAACUCAAAGGAGACUGCCAGUGAUAAACUGGAGGAAGGUGGGGAUGACGUCAAGUCAUCAUGGCCCUUACGACCAGGGCUACACACGUGCUACAAUGGCGCAUACAAAGAGAAGCGACCUCGCGAGAGCAAGCGGACCUCAUAAAGUGCGUCGUAGUCCGGAUUGGAGUCUGCAACUCGACUCCAUGAAGUCGGAAUCGCUAGUAAUCGUGGAUCAGAAUGCCACGGUGAAUACGUUCCCGGGCCUUGUACACACCGCCCGUCACACCAUGGGAGUGGGUUGCAAAAGAAGUAGGUAGCUUAACCUUCGGGAGGGCGCUUACCACUUUGUGAUUCAUGACUGGGGUGAAGUCGUAACAAGGUAACCGUAGGGGAACCUGCGGUUGGAUCACCUCCUU
rnacentral:rRNA from 1 species